rnacentral:lncRNA from 13 species
UGUUGGUUGUUGGUAGCAGCUGGUAUGUUCUGUGAGUUUGUUGCUCAGGUAGAGCUUAUUUGAUGUCCUUUGUUUCUUAGUUUGUUUGAGCAAUUAUUUGUUCUCCUGUUUCAUUUGUUCCCAGGGGGGGAAGGGGACGGCACCUAAGGAGUGCUUAAGCAAGAGGCCCGCGGGCAUACAUAUACCCGUAGUAUAUUCAUUGUCUAGGCACACUAGGUAAGACCUGGUCGGACCACCCCCUGUAUUUUGGUUAGGGCACCAGGUGGUGCUAAAUUAGGUAAGUGGUGGGUAGGCAGGUAAGAUAGGAGAGGGGGCUUUGAGAUUUACUUUCUUUGCUUUGGUUCCGUCCAGCCCCUUUUCCCCAUAUUUCCGUGUAAAGGAAUAAAGUCCUUGUAAACGGUACCACAUUCUGUCUGUUGUCAUCCUUACUCACGCCUACAGUCCAUACCUCUUUCACUUCACGGAGAGUUGAGUUAUAGCAGGGUGUUGCGUUCCCUCUUCAUAGAGGCGUGCGUAACACACACUGGGCUGUGAUGGUGAACCGGGGACACCAUGCGUAAGGCUUCAUGGCACCUGGCUCGAUGCCCAUUCUAGCCCGGCCGAUACCGCACCGGGCUAUACACAGGUCUCCUACCUGGCUUCACCACACUCCCUGUGUGCCCCCGCCCAAGACAUUUUUGGGGCUGUCUCUCGGGCUUCCAGCCGCUCUGCCGUGCUAGCUCCUCAUAAUGGCGCCUCUCUGCUUUCGCUGCCUCCAGCUCCGCUUUGGGACGGCGAUAUUCCCCUGGCUGAGUCCAGGGUCCUUUGCCGUCCAGAAUCUCCUCCCAAGUCCAUCUCUCCAGGUAUCGCUGCCUCUCCUGCUGCUGCUGCUGCCUGUUACCACGCCGCUUGGGCCUUGGUUGGUGGGUGUUUCUGUAAAGGUUUUCCUCCUCCUCUUCUGAGGAGGAGUAGCAAGAAGGAUCGGAGGACCAAUGCGCAGUGUGGACUCUGCACACACACUGCCCUGUUCCUGCCACGGCUCAGGCCAUUAACAGUGUAGGUUUACCGGAUCACUGGCUCUGCAUUACCUUGUGACUGCAGUAUAACUGCCUUCAGCCUGCGGAGAUUCUCAAAGACCUUGAGUCGUCAGAGUGGAAAUAGAUUUCUGCAGAAUGUUGACUGUGGACAUGGACUGUGUUCAUAAGGACUCAAUUGUGUGCAGCUAUCUAAGGUACUGCAUCUCAGUGCAAGAGGCGUCGCUACAGUCCCCGGUUCGAAUCCGUGAUUUGGAGUCGCACAAUUGGCCCAGCGUCAUCCGGGUUUGGCUGGGGUAGACCGUCAGUGUAAAUAAGAAUUUGUUCUUAACUGACUUGCCUAGUUACAUAAAGGUUAAAUAAAAACAUAUCUCAAAGACUGUUGAACGGUUUCUACUGUAGAGGAUAAUGGUGUUGUUGAGUACAAACCGGCAAGUAACGAAGCAAACACUUUAGAAAAAAAAGUUAAAUAGGGNNNNNNNNNNUCCUGGGCGUCAGUGAAGGAAGGCUGAGCAGUAACACCCUGGACCAGAGCUAGAGUAUCUCUUCUGUCUGGAGGAUUUCUGAUGCUUUAAGGCAAAAGCUGAGAAUGUUUUCUGAUUUUAACAGUUUUUCUACCGACUUUAAACAAUAAAGUUUAAAACAUGACACGUUUUAUAUUUUCAUUUGUAUUGUUUACUCAAAUGUUGCCAUUGUAUUGUGAAUAGCAUUAGCUCAACUCUGUCCUCUUGUGGUUGAAAUGGUCGGUGUUAUUUCAUAGUCACAUGAUACUAGAGUCUCCCUCUCAGCAUUAAUAAAUUCAUAAUCUCUUGUGGAGAGACUCAAGUAACAUCUGACACAAUUAUUCUCAAUUGUUGUAGUUCCGNNNNNNNNNNNNNNNNNNNNNNNNNNNNNNNNNNNNNNNNNNNNNNNNNNNNNNNNNNNNNNNNNNNNNNNNNNNNNNNNNNNNNNNNNNNNNNNNNNNNNNNNAUUCAGGCAAUUUCUCACCAUAUGGAUUUUGGUCCACGUCACCCAGCUCUACUAUUGAGGGAAUAGGGUGCCGUUUUGGACUCGGCCCAUGUCUGUCUCUGUAUACUGUCUGCAUGGUGUCUCUGUUUCUCCAUCCCUCUCUCUAGCUCUGGUCCUGGGCGUCAGUGAAGGAAGGCUGAGCAGUAACACCCUGGACCAGAGCUAGAGUAUCUCUUCUGUCUGGAGGAUUUCUGAUGCUUUAAGGCAAAAGCUGAGAAUGUUUUCUGAUUUUAACAGUUUUUCUACCGACUUUAAACAAUAAA